GACGAACGCUGGCGGCGUGCCUAAUACAUGCAAGUCGAGCGAAGUGGAGAGAGCUUGCUCUCAAAACUUAGCGGCGAACGGGUGAGUAACACGUGGGCAACCUGCCUGACAGACUGGGAUAACUUGGGGAAACUCAAGCUAAUACCGGAUAGGAUCGCGAACCGCAUGGAUUGCGAUGGAAAGUCUGAACGACACUGUCAGAUGGGCCCGCGGCGCAUUAGCUAGUUGGUGGGGUAAUGGCCUACCAAGGCGACGAUGCGUAGCCGACCUGAGAGGGUGACCGGCCACAAGGGGACUGAGACACGGCCCAGACUCCUACGGGAGGCAGCAGUAGGGAAUCUUCCACAAUGGGCGAAAGCCUGAUGGAGCAACGCCGCGUGAGUGAUGAAGGUUUUCGGAUCGUAAAACUCUGUUGUUAGGGAAGAACACCCGGGAGAGGAUCCCGGUUUGACGGUACCUAACGAGGAAGCCCCGGCUAACUACGUGCCAGCCGCCGCGGUAACAC
rnacentral:rRNA from 1 species